rnacentral:rRNA from 1 species
AACGAACGCUGGCGGCAGGCUUAACACAUGCAAGUCGAACGUCUUCGCAAGAGGGCGUGGCAGACGGGUGCGUAACGCGUGGGAACAUACCUCUCGGGUUCGGAAUAACCCAGGGAAACAUGGGACAAUACCGGAUACGUGCGAAAGCAGAAAGAUUUAUCGCCGAGAGAUUGGCCCGCGUCCGAUUAGCUGGUUGGUGAGGUAACGGCUCACCAAGGCGACGAUCGGUAGCUGGUCUGAGAGGAUGAUCAGCCACACUGGGACUGAGACACGGCCCAGACUCCUACGGGAGGCAGCAGUGGGGAAUAUUGGACAAUGGGCGCAAGCCUGAUCCAGCCAUGCCGCGUGAGUGAUGAAGGCCCUAGGGUUGUAAAGCUCUUUCGCCAGGGACGAUAAUGACGGUACCUGGAUAAGAAGCCCCGGCUAACUUCGUG